AGUGAACGCUGGCGGUAGGCCUAACGCAUGCAAGUGGAACGGCAGCACAGUAAGAGCUUGCUCUUACGGGUGGCGAGUGGCGGACGGGUGAGGAAUACAUCGGAAUCUACUUUUUCGUGGGGGAUAACGUAGGGAAACUUACGCUAAUACCGCAUACGACCUACGGGUGAAAGCAGGGGAUCUUCGGACCUUGCGCGAUUGAAUGAGCCGAUGUCGGAUUAGCUAGUUGGCGGGGUAAAGGCCCACCAAGGCGACGAUCCGUAGCUGGUCUGAGAGGAUGAUCAGCCACACUGGAACUGAGACACGGUCCAGACUCCUACGGGAGGCAGCAGUGGGGAAUAUUGGACAAUGGGCGCAAGCCUGAUCCAGCCAUACCGCGUGGGUGAAGAAGGCCUUCGGGUUGUAAAGCCCUUUUGUUGGGAAAGAAAAGCAGCAGGUUAAUACCCCGCUGUUCUGACGGUACCCAAAGAAUAAGCACCGGCUAACUUCGUG
rnacentral:rRNA from 1 species